ACUUACCUAGCCAAUAUGGUCAAUCAGCUUUUGAUUUGAUUGCUCAUUGACUCAUGCUGAACCCAUGCUACAUAGGUUAAUCAGUAUGACUGAUUUAGGUGCCAGGAUCGGCUUGAAUCUAGCCUUCCAUGAUCUAACUUGGUGAAGUCAGUGGGAUAAUUAUGAUUAGCUAAUCAAGUUUAAUCUCUUCUCUUCAAUAUCUCAAUCAAAUCCUCUAAAUUAUUAAGUCCAUAAAAUGAGCUAGUUAUGGGGAUGACUAGAUCAUAGCCUUUCAUUAAGUUGGAUGAUA
rnacentral:lncRNA from 1 species